CAACUACUCCCUCUGUCCCAAAUUUCUUGUCUUAGAUUUGUCUAGAUACGGAUGUAUCUAAUACUAAAAUGUGACUUGAUACAUCCGUAUCUAGACAAAUCUAAGACAGGAAUUUUGGGAUGGAGGGAGUACUUU
rnacentral:pre_miRNA from 1 species